ACUCCUACGGAGGCAGCAGUGGGGAAUAUUGGACAAUGGGCGCAAGCCUGAUCCAGCAAUGCCGCGUGUGUGAAGAAGGCCUUCGGGUUGUAAAGCACUUUUAUCAGGAACGAAAUACUACUGGCUAAUAACCGGUGGGGCUGACGGUACCUGAGGAAUAAGCACCGGCUAACUUCGUGCCAGCAGCCGCGGUAAUACGAAGGGUGCAAGCGUUAAUCGGAAUUACUGGGCGUAAAGCGUGCGCAGGCGGUUUGUUAAGUCUGUCGUGAAAUCCCCGGGCUCAACCUGGGAAUGGCGAUGGAUACUGGCAAGCUAGAGUGUGUCAGAGGAUGGUGGAAUUUCCGGUGUAGCGGUGAAAUGCGUAGAGAUCGGAAGGAACAUCAGUGGCGAAGGCGGCCAUCUGGGCCUAACCUGACACUGAGGAGCGAAAGCGUGGGGAGCGAACAGGAUUAGAAACCCGAGUAGUCC
rnacentral:rRNA from 1 species